AACGAACGCUGGCGGCAUGCCUAACACAUGCAAGUCGAACGAGACCUUCGGGUCUAGUGGCGCACGGGUGCGUAACGCGUGGGAACCUGCCCUUAGGUUCGGAAUAACUCCCCGAAAGGGGUGCUAAUACCGGAUAAUGUCUUCGGACCAAAGAUUUAUCGCCUUUGGAUGGGCCCGCGUUGGAUUAGCUAGUUGGUAGGGUAAAAGCCUACCAAGGCGACGAUCCAUAGCUGGUCUGAGAGGAUGAUCAGCCACACUGGGACUGAGACACGGCCCAGGCUCCUACGGGAGGCAGCAGUGGGGAAUAUUGGACAAUGGGCGAAAGCCUGAUCCAGCAAUGCCGCGUGAGUGAUGAAGGCCUUAGGGUUGUAAAGCUCUUUUACCCGGGAUGAUAAUGACAGUACCAGGAGAAUAAGCUCCGGCUAACUCCGUG
rnacentral:rRNA from 1 species